AGAGAGAGACAUGCGCGCAUAUCAAUAAGCGGAGGAAAAGAAACUAACAAGGAUUCCCUUAGUAACGGCGAGUGAAGCGGGAAGAGCUCAAAUUUGAAAUCUUCAAGGUUCUACCUUGACGAAUUGUAGUUUAUAGAAGUGUUUUCUGUUGGAGUUUUGGUAAAAGUUCUUUGGAAUAGGACAUCAUAGAGGGUGAGAAUCCCGUAUUUGACCAUUAUUUCCAACUUUGUGAUACACUUUCAACGAGUCGGAUUGUUUGGGAAUGCAGUCCAAGAUGGGUGGUAAAUUUCAUCUAAAGCUAAAUAUUGGCGAGAGACCGAUAGCGAACAAGUACCGUGAGGGAAAGAUGAAAAGAACUUUGAAAAGAGAGUUAAACAGUACGUGAAAUUGUCAAAAGGGAAGCGUUUGACACCAGUGUUGUUUUUCCGAAAAUCAAUUACGAAUGUUUUGUUUUUGAGGAGUUAUGACUUCAUCGGCUUGCUUCCUUUCUUUACGAAACUUUCCUUAAUGCACUUUUCGGUUAACAAGUCAACAUCAAUUUCUUUUGUUGUAAAAGGGUAGUGAGGAAGGUGGCUUUCUUUUCGGAGAAAGUGUUUAUAGCCUUGUGCCUCUGCAAUCGGAGAGAUUGAGGUCUGCAGCGUAGAUCCUUCGGGGUUAGAUACAUUUGUGCUAAGUUAUAGCUUUUCAUAGACAACUUGUUGACUAUGUUUAGUCUUGUAGCUUACUCGCUUAUGCUAUUUACCUACGCUUAGGAUGUUGAUCUGUAGUGCGUGCGC
rnacentral:rRNA from 1 species